rnacentral:lncRNA from 1 species
GGGGGCAAGAGGGGGCUGGGAGCCCAGGCAUAUAAAGCUGGAGGAGGGUGCAGGUCCUGGAGGAGGGUGCGGGUGCUGGAAGAAGAUGGCCUUGGUGGAGAAGAGGCGGCGGAGGCGGCAUCGGGCUGGGCAGCCCAUGGAGGGGCUGGGGAGAGAUGCUCAGGAAAUGAAGGAUUCUGUUAAAAGCUCGGACUACAUAGAAAGACUGGCACAUAAAUACAUGGUAACUUUUAUUCUAAUUGCUAUUUCUUUAUCCCCCUGUUAAACUGUAAUUUAGCUUUAGUUAGCUGCUUUGUCAGUAGCCUGAUGGUGCAGAUAGCUGUGCUGGAAAAUAUUUCAUGGGGAACAUGUGUGAAUAAUCAAUUCAAAUGGUAUCACCUGCAAAGCAACAAAAAAGGAGGGAGGAAGCUUUUGGGGGAAGAAUAAAGGGCUUCCAUUUUCUCCCUUUUCUUGCUUGUACAACCCAAUCAGCAACACAAAUGUGGGAUGUUUGGAAAGACAAGCUGAAAAGCUGAAAGCUUUGGAAAAACACAGCAUCUAUGAAGUGUGUCGUAGAGUCAAGCACAGAGUCAGAGUCUGAAUCCAGCGCUGAGGCCGUGCCUAGCCUGCUUGCUGAAGGACUCAAGAAGGCAAGGGACUCUAAGGGAUCACAGUUUUUAGAUCCUUAUGAUGGCGAUUCAGAAGAUGCAUCCGUAUACUCUGACUGCAGCUUGAAUUCUUUAAAUAGUAUAAAAGUUGCACCAUGGGUGAACAGUGCCUCAAAAGCGAUGGCUUUGGAGGAUGCUGAUCCUUCAGAAGAUGAAGAGUCUUCCCCUGAAACUCUGCAUUGGCUCUGUCCAGAAACAAAAAUUGGUGAAAUCCACACCCAGAUACCAACUGACUGUAAAGCACCUCCAGAACUUUCUACCCAACAGAAGGAUUUCCCAAGAAGCCUGUCGCAAUCCUCUGAACUGACUAGAGCCACAGAAGCAUUUCCCUCCAUGUGGCUGACACCUGACCGUUCCUUACUGAUGGCUACUAAUUAA